GAAUCUGCAGCCUGCAGAGAUGCAGCAGUGGGCGCGGUGGAGCUGAAACAAACAGACUGGUCCAUUCAGAGUAACUGUCCAGGUGUUCCAUCAGUCUGGAGCAAAGAGUCACAUGGCCGACGUAAUCCAACAAGACAUCAAUAAUUGGCCCCGCCCAUCGACAGAUACUGGGGACGGAUAUCAUCUCACAGAACUGUCAGUCCAUAAACAUAAAAUUAAAAGGAAAAAUAGAGGUCACCUGAAUGGCUCUUCUUUGGACAGCUUGGUCGAUAUCAUGGAGUUCAUCCCUCUCUGU